GUGCUCACUUCAGCACAUACACUAAAAUUGGAACGAUACAGAGAAGAUUAGCAUGGCCCCUGUGCAAGGAUGACAUGCUUUUAAAAUAAAAAAAAAUUUU
ensembl:snRNA U6 U6 spliceosomal RNA